UCCAGUCUGGUGGGUUUGUUUGUUUCUUUGUUUUCCCAAAUAGGCUCUUGUACGGCUCAGACUGGCUACAGCACUUGAGAGAGGAGGCCUAGAUCAUCCUUGGAGUUGGCCCACCCCAACAUCAACCCCCAUCUAUGAUUUGCUGGAGGGAAUUAAAGGGUCAGUCCUGCAGAUCCAACGCUGCAGGAUCUCCAUGACCCAGAGAGGAGUCCCACUGAGGAUCUAGUAUUGAUGGUGUAGCAGAAGCCAGAGGCCUUGAAACAAACCAAUGACUCAUCUCCAUGAACAUUUGCAAAUAAAGAUGUGUGGACAAAAGGCUACACUGCAUGCCACACUGUGGCACACUACA